rnacentral:piRNA from 1 species
UAUCCAAGGUGCUGACAUCUUUUAAGG